AAGGAAGGAUCAAAGGCUAAAUUCCCGACAUCCUAUCGCAAUGCCUUUGAGGCCUGCGUUCUGCAGG
rfam:Bacillus galactosidilyticus strain PL133 scaffold000086, whole genome shotgun sequence.